AUCGUCUUCUCAAUUAUUUUCCCCUUCUUUACAAUCAUCACAAGCUUCUUAGCAAUCUCAACAUCUGUUUCAUCAAUUCUUCAUCAAGAUGAGUGUAUGAGAAUAAUAGCCAUUCAUUUGUUAUCAAAAUCCGCGUAUUUAUAUCUGUACUUGUUAUAAAUAUAUAUUAUACGCAAUGAAUGCUCUAAAGAAGAUAGCCACUACACUUGGUAUCAACGGAUUGGACCUAAGUUCUGGAGACCCUUGCUAUUUAGGAUCCCUAAAGAUGAUUCCCGAAGUUGCUAAUGUUUCGAAUCCGGUGCUUAGAAACAACACCAUUGACUGUGAUUGUAGCUUCAACAAUAUAUAACACAACAUGUCGUAUAAUAAACAUAGACCUAAAGACCCUUGGCCUUCGAGGAAAACUUCCACCUGAGUUAGCUGAGCUUCAAUAUCUCCAAACGAUAGACUUGUGUAGAAAUUACCUUUCGGGCUCAAUCCCAAUGGAGUGGGCUUCGCUGCCAAACCUUACUUAUAUCUCGCUCUGCGCGAAUCGUUUGUCUGGGCCUUUACCAUCUGGUUUACAAAAUUUCAACAAUCUGAGAUUCCUAGGGGUUGAAGCAAAUCAGUUCUCUGGUCCGAUUCCCGACGGGAUUGGUAACUUGACGAACCUAAAAGGAUUACAACUUGGGUCCAACCAAUUUACAGGAAGCCUGCCUAACACUCUCGCUAGACUGGUGAACCUUGAGGAUUUUAGGGUAAGUGACAAUAACUUUGAUGGUACCAUCCCAGCAUACAUUGGCAACUGGUCUCGGCUUCAAAAGCUAUAUCUAUACGCGAGUGGACUAAAAGGACCAAUACCUGAUGAAAUAGCGCGCCUAGAAAAUCUUACUAACUUGUUUAUCACUGAUACGAGUGGGAUUAACAUCUUCCCAUAUAUAUCGAGCCAAGCCAUUGAAACCCUGAUUUUGAGGAAUGUGAGUUUGUCUGGUCCGAUUCCUUCUUACAUCUGGAAUAUGCCAAAACUAAGGAUUCUUGAUUUAUCAUUCAACAAUUUGACUGGUGACGUUCAUGGAGGAAAAGCACCAGCAUAUACAUAUUUGACUAGAAACAGGCUUUCUGGAGAAGUUGAAUCUGGUCUUUUUCUCAAAAGCAACGCUCAAAUUGAUCUCUCUUACAACAAUUUCUCAUGGUGGCCUAGCUGCCAGGAGAAUAGUAACAUUAACACAUACCGGAGCUCAUACUUAAACAAUUUAACUGGGAUUCUUCCAUGUGCUGGUCCAAUCAACUGCACGAGCUAUCAGCGAACACUACUUAUAAACUGUGGUGGAGACAACAUAGUUAUUACAAAUUCUUCUCAUAAAAUCACUUAUCAAGCUGAUAACACUAAAACCAAAGCCGCAACCAAUCAGCAAUUCAAAGACUGGGGAAUUAGUAACACAGGGGAAUUCUUCUCAGAUGGUCAUACGAAAGAAUCAAGUAACACAGAUGACACGUACAUCAUUUCAACUAGUUUAAGAUUAUCUGGGGAUUCCCCUGAUAUCUAUAAGACGGCACGUCGAUCUCCCCUAUCUCUAGUUUAUUAUGCGUUUUGCAUGGAGAAUGGAACCUACAGUGUGAAACUCCAUUUUAUGGAGAUCCAGUUUUCAGACCAAGAACUAUACAGUCGUCUUGGCAGACGCAUAUUUGACGUUUAUGUUCAGGGAGUAUUGUUCUUGAGGGAUUUUAACAUCAAAGAGGCGGCUAAUGGGACUCUGAAGCCUGUUGUCAAAACAGUGAGUGCGAAUGUGACAAAUAAUAUAUUAGAGAUUCGGUUGUACUGGGCUGGUAAAGGAACAACACUUAUUCCUGAAAGAGGAAAUUAUGGUCCUCUUAUCUCUGCUAUCUCCUUGUGUCACAGCAGUAUGGAGCCACAAUGUGGAGCAAUGAAAACAGAACUUCACACCAAUUAUCCACUAAUUUUCGGGGUAGUGGGUAGCUUGAUAGCAGUUACUCUCUUGGCUUUGGGAUUAUACACUCAGAAAAUAUGCAGACGAGACAAGUACACACGAGAAAGAGAUUUGAGAGCACAGGGUCUGCAAACCGUUUGCUUUACUUGGAGGCAACUGGAAGCUGCAACAAACAAUUUUGAUCAAGCCAAUAAACUUGGAGAAGGAGGUUUUGGAUCCGUAUUGAGAGGAGAGCUUUCAGAUGGAACUAUCAUAGCAGUCAAGCAGCUAUCUUCCAAGUCAUGCCAAGGAAACCGCGAGUUUGUGAAUGAGAUAGGCAUGAUCUCAGGUCUGAAUCAUCCAAACCUUGUCAAGCUUUAUGGAUGUUGUGUAGAGAAGAAUCAGUUGAUGCUCGUGUACGAAUACAUGGAAAAUAACUCCCUUGCUCUUGCACUGUUUGGAAAGAGCUCCCUGAAAUUGCAAUGGGAAGUUAGACAAAACAUAUGCGUGGGAAUUGCAAGAGGGCUUGAAUUCCUCCAUGAAGGAUCGAUGAUCAGGAUGGUUCACCGUGACAUAAAAACCAGUAACGUGCUUCUAGACGCUGACCUUAAUGCAAAGAUAUCAGACUUUGGAUUGGCUAGGCUCCAUGAAGAAGAACACACCCACAUUAGCACCAAGAUUGCAGGGACCGUUGGAUAUAUGGCUCCAGAAUAUGCACUGUGGGGUCAUUUGACUGAGAAAGCAGACGUGUUCAGCUUCGGAGUUGUGGCAAUGGAAAUUGUUAGUGGAAAUAGUAAUAUGAAACGGAAAGGAAGUGAUGAUCAUGUCUCCCUUAUCAAUUGGGCUCUGACGCUGCAUCAGAGAGGGUACAUAAUGGAGAUUGUAGAUCCAGUGCUCCAAGGAGAUUUCAACAGCAAAGAAGCAGUAAGGAUGAUCAAAGUUGCUUUCGUUUGCACAAACUCAUCUCCUUCCUUAAGGCCUACCAUGUCAGAGGCUGUUAAAAUGCUCGAGGGAGAGAUCAACAUAAGAGAGGUUAUGUCAGAUCCUGGUCUAUAUGGACACAAUUGGAGCAUCUCAAAUCUUAUCAACAUUGAUACACAUGGAAGCUCGAGUGUGUCUGGUGUGGCCCAUCAAACGGCAACGACAAUGCAAUCCUCUGUUUCUGGUUCUGAUCUCUACCCAUUUUGCAAUGAAUCCAUGAUCCUAAACUCCACAGCAGAGUUUUCCUCCUCGCCAAUUUGAUAUCAGAAAGUUGUGUACAUUGCCUUAUCUCUUAAAAAAGAAGAAAGGCUUGUGAAGUUAUCUUAUAGAUAGUUAGCUACAUUUGUACCAUUCAAGUUGUCUAAAACCUUACUACAUUUGUACCAUCCAAGAGACUGGUAUCUCUCUGAAUGCAUGUCAAACUGUUAUUAUAUAUUUUUUAUGAAAGGCUUAUUGAAUCUAAA